CCUACGGGUGGCAGCAGUGGGGGAUAUUGCACAAUGGGGGAAACCCUGAUGCAGCGACGCCGCGUGGGUGAAGAAGCGCCUCGGCGCGUAAAGCCCUGUCAGCAGGGAAGAAAAUGACGGUACCUGAAGAAGAAGCCCCGGCUAAAUACGUGCCAGAGACCGGGGUAAUACGUAGGGGGCAAGCGUUAUCCGGAUUUACUGGGGGUAAAGGGGGCGCAGACGGCGAUGCAAGCCAGGAGUGAAAGCCCGGGGCCCAACCCCGGGACUGCUCUUGGAACUGCGUGGCUAGAGUGCAGGAGGGGCAGGCGGAAUUCCUGGUGUAGCGGUGAAAUGCGUAGAUAUCAGGAGGAACACCGGUGGCGAAGGCGGCCUGCUGGACUGCAACUGACGUUGAGGCCCGAAAGCGUGGGGAGCAAACAGGAUUAGAUACCCCGGUAGUC
rnacentral:rRNA from 1 species